rnacentral:rRNA from 1 species
GGACGAACGCUGGCGGCGUGCUUAACACAUGCAAGUCGAGCGGUAAGGCCCUUCGGGGUACACGAGCGGCGAACGGGUGAGUAACACGUGGGUGAUCUGCCUCGCACUCUGGGAUAAGCCUGGGAAACUGGGUCUAAUACCGGAUAUGACCAGGAACUGCAUGGUUUUUGGUGGAAAGGUUUACUGGUGCGAGAUGGGCCCGCGGCCUAUCAGCUUGUUGGUGGGGUAAUGGCCUACCAAGGCGACGACGGGUAGCCGACCUGAGAGGGUGAUCGGCCACACUGGGACUGAGACACGGCCCAGACUCCUACGGGAGGCAGCAGUGGGGAAUAUUGCACAAUGGGCGAAAGCCUGAUGCAGCGACGCCGCGUGAGGGAUGACGGCCUUCGGGUUGUAAACCUCUUUCGACAGGGACGAAGCGCAAGUGAGGGUACCUGUAGAAGAAGCACCGGCCAACUAC